UGAAAUCUACGAUGAUUUUUUAUUGCAAAAUAAUUAUUUAUUAGUUUGAAUAAUUUAAGUCCGUAAUUGCUUGGGUUAUUCUUACAUGAGGACACUUGGGAUAGAACCCAAGGAAAUUACAUGAUCUAGCGUUAUCUCCAUACGUUUGGGUAGCUAGGAUUGGGUCUCUCUCUUUCUUAAUGCAAUUAACAAUUGUUUUGAUGCCUAAGGUCCAAGGACGUUCCUUGACAAUUUGUUAAUUAGUAAUUAAUUAGAGGACGUUCCCUAAUUAAUUUAUUCCUAAGGAGAGAUAAUGGUGGUGAGAAGCGUCUUCCAUCUCCAUAACGAAUCUAUUGGGUCAACCCAAAAGAGCAAAGUGCCUGUGAUCAACCCCAACAACUAAAAUGGAUCCAAUAUUUCAACUAGAACUUUCUCAUUAUUAAUUACUUUUUACUUAAUUAUUUGCUUUCUAUUAUUAUUUUCAUUAUUAGUUACUACAAUCAAUCUCAAAACCCCCCAUUUUACUUUUACUGCAAUUCAGCUUUCAGUUUAUCUCAUUUGAUCCCACUUUCAGUUUUUAUCUCAUUUUUUUGUUUAUCUCAUUGCUUCAGUUAAUUUUAUUGGUCUUGUUGAGAAAAAUAAAUAGGUAAUCAAUUCUCUGUGGAUUCGAUCAUUUCACCACUAUCUGCAGUUGUAAAUUGUUGAUAACCAGAAAGGUUAUUUUUGGCCGG
rnacentral:lncRNA from 1 species